rnacentral:antisense_RNA from 13 species
AAUAACCAAAAAUAACACUAGGAUUUAGUGUUAAGUUAGUAAUUUUUCUAACAUCUCCUCCUCCUGGAGCCCAAGUAUCGUAUACACCACCAAAAUAAAGAGCUUUUAAUACUAAUAAAAAAGCUCCUAAACCUAAUAAAAUAAGAUGAAUUCCUAAAAUAGUAGUCAUCUUAUUUUUAUCUUUCCA